rnacentral:rRNA from 1 species
AGAGUUGAUCCUGGCUUAGGAUGAACGCUAGCGACAGGCUUAACACAUGCAAGUCGAGGGGCAGCAUAAAAGUAGCAAUACUUGGUGGCGACCGGCGCACGGGUGAGUAACGCGUAUGCAACCUACCUAUCAGAGGGGAAUAACCCGGCGAAAGUCGGACUAAUACCGCAUAAAACAGGGACACCGCAUGGUGAUAUUUGUUAAAGAAAUUCGCUGAUAGAUGGGCAUGCGUUCCAUUAGGUAGUUGGUGAGGUAACGGCUCACCAAGCCGACGAUGGAUAGGGGAACUGAGAGGUUGGUCCCCCACACUGGUACUGAGACACGGACCAGACUCCUACGGGAGGCAGCAGUGAGGAAUAUUGGUCAAUGGGCGAGAGCCUGAACCAGCCAAGUCGCGUGAAGGAAAGAAGGAUCUAUGGUUCGUAAACUUCUUUUGCAGGGGAAUAAAGUGCAGGACGUGUCCUGUUUUGUAUGUACCCUGAGAAUAAGGAUCGGCUAACUCCGUGCCAGCAGCUGC